ensembl:lncRNA
CACGCCCUUCGCUGUGGAGAGCCGCGCCCGGGUCCGCCCCACAGCCCGCGGCUGCCCCAUAGCCGCCCCAUAUCCGCCCCAUAGCUGCCUCAGAGCCGCCCUAUAGCCGCCCCAUGGUGGCAUAGGGAUCCACCCCUGUGCUCCACGGCGCCCCAUAGCGGUCUUUACAGGCUCCUAUGGGUCCCUAUAGGUCUCUAUGGGUCUCUGUGCCUCGUUUAGAUCCCUAUCAGUCACUACAUCUGCUAUAGAUCACUAUGGAUACUGUUUCGUCGCCUCCGAAGGACAGCAGCGGCCGCAGCCCCCCCCUUCCCCCCCAUUCACUGCGUUCCCCUCUUUGAGUCCGCCCCGAGGGGAGGGGGGUGUGGGAAAAAGGGGCGGAGCCUCCGCCCGCGCGGGAGAGAUCUCUCAGCCAAUCGAAGAGAAGGAGCGGUUCCCACGGUUCCAUUGAUGAAAAAAGGCGAAGAGGGACCUUUCCUUGGAAGCCCUCCCCGGCGGGGGGGGGGGCUGUUAAACUUGGGGGGGGGCUCAGUGUGAGAGAGGGAGGGUCCCAAAGGGGAUCAGUGUGAUUGGGGGGUGGGGGUCCCAAAAG